rnacentral:lncRNA from 1 species
ACCGGGGCAGAUACCUGCACAUGUAAGGCAAGACACCCUUGGGUCGUACCCAAAUGAUGAGCAAAAUAUGAAGACACAUAGGAAUAGGUAGAACUGGGAUCAAAUAAGACGAAGGCAUCUCUGUGGCAGACUGAAAUAAUACCAGUGAUAACAGCAUUGGAUGCAAGGGCAUCUGUCAUGCCCAGGAUAGCAUAAAAUCUAGCCUGGCCACCGUCGCCUGAUCGGUCUCCGCCCCUAGGGCGACCCCUGACUGGCUGGCCUCCGCCCCUCUUUGACUGGGUUGGUGCUAAAGAAAUUGGAGCAGAAGACAAGGGCUGAUCCCUCUGCUAAUAUUGGCUACCACGACGUCGAGGACACUGCCUCCUCAUAUGGUCAUACUCGCCACACUGGAAGAAAAUACCAGAUGCUGGAAAAGGGGACUGAUGGGAACCCUUCGCGCCAGAAUGACUAGCCGAUGCGCCAUGCGCAGAAUAACCCUGAGCUAAAAGGGCAUGUGAAGAGAUAUGAGCCGGGAG